CACGUAGGGUGCGAGCGUUGUCCGGAAUUAUUGGGCGUAAAGAGCUCGUAGGCGGUGUGUCGCGUCGGCCGUGAAAACCUGCAGCUUAACUGUGGGCUUGCGGUCGAUACGGGCAUCACUGGAGUUCGGCAGGGGAGACUGGAAUUCCUGGUGUAGCGGUGAAAUGCGCAGAUAUCAGGAGGAACACCCGGGUGGCGGAA
rnacentral:rRNA from 1 species